UUGAUAUAGGGCUAUCAAUUGAGUUCUAUUAGACUCAAUGGGGCUAUCCCAUAUUUUACAUUUACAACGCGUUCUGCGCAUGUCGUGUUUGAUGACGUUACAGUAGUAAAAAAACAAAAGUUCUGAGUCAUCGCAAUUUCUCCGUAUAUUCUUAUAUAACAGCUAAAGACGAUAGAAAAAUUAUAUUACAACUUUUGCUUUUGAGGAAAACAUUCUGAAAUAUUCUACAUUAAAGGACACAUGCAAGAUAGAAGACAACUUUAUUUUAUUGUAAUGCCUACGGCGUGAAAAUAAAACGUACCAAGUUUCAAAGUCGUCCGCAAAAUAUUUCAAAAGAUAUUUAGGGUUAUAAUCGAUAAAAACACGAUGUUCGAUGACCAUUGCUAAAACGCCGUGAGAUUGUUGAAGUCUGGGAACUGGGAAUGAGUGACGUAAUAGUUGACAUAAACAAGCAUUUUUCUUAUAUCGUUCUACGACUAGCACAACUUUCGGUAGUUUGCUAUUAAGGUAGUUUGCUAGUUAUUUGUUUUUUAUUUAACAAAAAUUAAUGGAUUCUUCUUUUGAAUAAGCCGAUUAUGAUAUUUUCAUCAAUAACAAUGAGGUACAACCUUGCAUGUUUGAGCCUUUGGCCAACGCGCAAGGUGGUCAUAGUAAUGACAAUUCUCCGUCAUCGGAAGAUGAAUACAUUCACAGAUUUGGAAAUGUUGAAUGGUGCGAGUGUGGCUUUUGUGUGGUCAUGAGUACAGGACGGGAAAGUAUAUGUUGCCAAGAGGUAAGCAACACUGAUCCUCUGAUACAUGGCGAUCAUAUUUGCAUCACACAAGAGGAAGAGUUUGCCACAGUGUGUACAAACGAAGCCGUCAUAAAAACAUCUAUGGUCGUGUACACACAUGACAUUGGACCUAUACCUGAGAGUGAAGAAAACGAAAACAUUACGCUACACGUUGUACCGACAGUGGACGGCUUGGGUGCAUGGCAGGUUGGGAAAAAAGUACAGACUACCCAUACCUUCUUGUGCUGGAGACAAAAUCCGGAAAGCAUUUCCUUCGCCUUCUGGAGAAUACAAAGGAUUUGAAUAUGCUCAACACUACUGAAUGCGACAUUUAUGUUGCUUAAUGGCUUCAGCUUUGCUGAUUUUUGAUUUGUGGCAAGUCAAUGGGACAGGUAUUUCUUUCACUCCAGACAUGAAGAGCUUCGGACAGUGUUGGAUUAAUGCGUCUGCAGUACAAAACUUCUUUCAUCAAGUCCUUAACAUAUCCUGAAAAGCAAAUCAUUAUUUAUGUUGGCUUUGCAUUGCACUUUGAGAAAAAGCUCUAACAUAUCAUAUUCACAUUUUGGGAAUACAUCACUAUGUCCCUCAUGGAUGUCACAUAUAUGGUUGAGAACUGACAACCACUUUGCCUUGACAAGUUCUUCAUCACCAUUGCUGGAAGCAGCACACCAGUAUACAUGGUUGGAAAUUGAUUGGGCCCAAUCUGACAAUAAUUUGCAACCACUUUUUUUUGAUGCUGCCCAAAUGUUCUUUUUAAUUCCUGUUGGAUUUUGAUUAUUGAUGAAAUGUGUAAAAGGAUUUGAUUUGAGCAUGUCUGUCUGUGGUCAUUGACUUCACCUUCAUCCCACUUUCAUCAAACUUUGCCAGACAUCUUUUUAAUCCCUCAAGUUCCAUUGCUCCAGAGUUGGUCACUUCAUUGGACUGUUUAACAUAAUUAUAAGAUGCUUUUGGUUCAUAUGCCAAACAUUUGAAACACUGGGUAUCAAAUACGCUGUUUGAAUAUAGCUAUAUGUACACUCUGACAGAAAUUGUAUGCCUGAGUGACGAAGGAAUUGAAGAACUUUGCUGGGGCUACUACCACUAAACAAGAUGCUGGCAGCAAAGACCAAGUUACCCAAAGGCAUUCGCCCAUGCAGAGGUUGGCUAUUCCAGUCUCGAACAUAACCACAAUGACAUUUUGCUAGUACGUUAACCAUACUACCAGUCGUUUUGGUCACAAUGGAACAGCUUUCACCACAACAUGGGCAUUGACUCACUAACUGUCUCAGGCAACUAUCAAACACUAUGUAUUUUCUCUCAUUUUGAACAUCUUCCCUAUAACAUAAAAAUUACCAUCAGAAUCAGAGAGAGAUAAACGUAACGUUCUGAGAAACAUAGAACAGAGAAAAGCAAUGUAAAGAAUAGUCAGGUGACUGGAUAGUUGGUACUAACGUUGCAUUGUCAUUGUUGGAUUCUUCAUUUUCGCUUAACUCAUUUGAACAUUGAGAGUCAGAUCCAUUGUUGCUAUUGCUCAUCGUCGACGUGCUUUCUGUAUAAGACCAUACAGCGCUAUCCUCAAAAUGUUCAAUUUCACAUGACGUCGUCUGUGUGCUGUGAUUUUUUGUUGAAAUGAACUCAACCUCCGUACCUUAGCAUAAAAUUAUCGUAUUGCUGGAUUUUUCACAAAAAUCAAAACGGCCGGAAUGGAAAGUCUAUACCUCUACUUAUCAUAUUUGGCACUUUUGUUUGAGUGGUUCUUGACCUUACGUGUUUUUGCGGACGGAUUGUUAUGGCUGCUUGGCAUUUCACAUUGCGCUUCUAAGACAAACUUCCUUUGAGGUAAAACGCACAAACAUUUCGAGCCGAUGUCGACACAUCGUGGUCGUCGUCUACAAGAAAGUCGUCAUGUUCUGCAAGAACGUCGUCAAUAAUCU